GAUGAACGCUGGCGGCGUGCCUAAUACAUGCAAGUCGAGCGAACAGACGAGGAGCUUGCUCCGCUGACGUUAGCGGCGGACGGGUGAGUAACACGUGGAUAACCUACCUAUAAGACUGGGAUCACCUCGGGAAACCGGAGCUAAUACCGGAUAAUAUCUUGAACCGCAUGGUUCGAUAGUGAAAGACGGUUUUGCUGUCACUUAUAGCUGGAUCUGCGCCGUAUUAGCUGGUUGUUACGGUCACGGCUUAUGACGGGAAGGAUGCGUAGCCGACCUGUGAGGGUGAUCGGCCACACGGGAACUGAGACACGGUCCAGACUCCUACGGGAGGCAGCAGUAGGCAAUCUUCCGCAAUGGGCGAAAGCCUGACGGAGCAACGCCGCGUGAGUGAUGAAGGUCUUCGGAUCGUAAAACUCUGUUAUGAGUGAAAAACAAAUGUGUAAGUAACUAUGCACGUCUUGACGGUACCUAAUCAGAAAGCCACGGCUAACUACGUG
rnacentral:rRNA from 1 species